GUUUAAAUGUGCAAACAAGCUGUGUUAAUUGUAUUCACUAUUUGUUCCAAUUUCUCUCCUACCUUAUAAUUAAAAAGUUUCAUUUACUAGCAAACAUAUAUUCAUCACACACACACACACAUAUAUAUAUAUAUAAUAAAUAAAUUAUAUGAAACUGAACAUACCUUGAGCGGAGAAGCUAUCGAGUGAAUUACCACCGAGGUUCAAAGUUUUUAGAGCAGUUAAUCCAUUCAAACUUAACAAAAUGUUUGUAUUAUUUAGACGGUUCUGUGAAAGGUCUAAAGUCUCCAACUUUUGUAAUCUAGGAAAGCCUUCAAAAGAAGCAGAUCGUAAGAUAUGACAAUCGGAAACUUUUUUUCCCAAAAAAACAAAUCGAAUGUUUUUUUCCAAUUUCUUUCCUCCUAAUAAAUAAGUUUCAUUUGCGUCAAAAAAAUAAAUAAAUUAUAUGAAACUGAACAUACCUUGAGCGGAUAAGCUAUCGAGUGAAUUACCACCGAGGUUCAAAGUUUUGAGAGCAGUUAAUCCAUUCAAACUUGACAAUAUGCUUAUAUUAUUUAGACCGUUGUAUGAAAGGUCUAAGGUCUCCAACUUUUGUAAUUUAGCAAAAUCUUCAAAAGAAGCAGAUGGUAAGAUAUGACAAUCGGAAAAAAAAUUUCCAAAAAAAAAAAUCGAAUGUUUUUUCCAAUUUCUUUCCUCCUAAUAAAUAAGUUUCAUUUGCGUCAAAAAAAUAAAUAAAUUAUAUGAAACUGAACAUACCUUGAGCGGAGAAGCUAUCGAGUGAAUUAGCACCGAG
rnacentral:lncRNA from 1 species